rnacentral:rRNA from 1 species
AUUGAACGCUGGCGGCAUGCUUUACACAUGCAAGUCGAACGGUAACAGGCCGCAAGGUGCUGACGAGUGGCGAACGGGUGAGUAAUGCAUCGGAACGUGCCCAGUCGUGGGGGAUAACUACUCGAAAGAGUAGCUAAUACCGCAUACGAUCUAUGGAUGAAAGCGGGGGACCGUAAGGCCUCGCGCGAUUGGAGCGGCCGAUGUCAGAUUAGGUAGUUGGUGGGGUAAAGGCUCACCAAGCCAACGAUCUGUAGCUGGUCUGAGAGGACAACCAGCCACACGGGGAGUGAGACACGGCCCAGACUCCUACGGGAGGCAGCAGUGUGGAAUUUUGGACAAAGGGCGCAAGCCUGAUCCAGCAAUGCCGCGUGCAGGAAGAAGGCCUUCGGGUUGUAAACUGCUUUUGUACGGAACGAAACGGCUCUGGUUAAUACCCGGGGCUAAUGACGGUACCGGAAGAAUAAGCACCGGCUAACUACGUG